rnacentral:rRNA from 1 species
AAAUUGAAGAGUUUGAUCAUGGCUCAGAUUGAACGCUGGCGGCAGGCCUAACACAUGCAAGUCGAACGGUAGCACAGAGAGCUUGCUCUCGGGUGACGAGUGGCGGACGGGUGAGUAAUGUCUGGGAAACUGCCCGAUGGAGGGGGAUAACUACUGGAAACGGUAGCUAAUACCGCAUAACGUCGCAAGACCAAAGUGGGGGACCUUCGGGCCUCACACCAUCGGAUGUGCCCAGAUGGGAUUAGCUAGUAGGUGGGGUAACGGCUCACCUAGGCGACGAUCCCUAGCUGGUCUGAGAGGAUGACCAGCCACACUGGAACUGAGACACGGUCCAGACUCCUACGGGAGGCAGCAGUGGGGAAUAUUGCACAAUGGGCGCAAGCCUGAUGCAGCCAUGCCGCGUGUAUGAAGAAGGCCUUCGGGUUGUAAAGUACUUU